rnacentral:rRNA from 2 species
UACGUAGGGGGCAAGCGUUAUCCGGAUUCAUUGGGCGUAAAGCGCGCGUAGGCGGCUUGUUAAGCGAGAUGUGAAAACCGGGGGCUUAACCCGCGGCCUGCAUCUCGAACUGGCAGGCUUGAGUCUGGUAGAGGAAAGUGGAAUUCCUGGUGUAGCGGUGAAAUGCGCAGAUAUCAGGAGGAACACCAGUGGCGAAGGCGGCUUUCUGGGCCACGACUGACGCUGAGGCGCGAAAGCUAGGGGAGCAAAC